rnacentral:tRNA from 2 species
GGAGAAAUGUCAGAGCGGUUUAAUUUGCUCGCUUGGAAAGCGGGUGUACGGUAACGUACCGAGGGUUCGAAUCCCUCUUUCUCCACCA